rnacentral:rRNA from 1 species
CAGCCUGAUCCAGCAAUGCCGCGUGAGUGAAGAAGGCCUUCGGGUUGUAAAGCUCUUUUGUCAGGGAAGAAAAGGCUACGGAUAAUACCUGUGGCUCAUGACGGUACCUGAAGAAUAAGCACCGGCUAACUACGUGCCAGCAGCCGCGGUAAUACGUAGGGUGCAAGCGUUAAUCGGAAUUACUGGGCGUAAAGCGUGCGCAGGCGGUUUUGUAAGACUGUCGUGAAAUCCCCGGGCUCAACCUGGGAAUGGCGAUGGUGACUGCAAGGCUAGAGUUUGGCAGAGGGGGGUAGAAUUCCACGUGUAGCAGUGAAAUGCGUAGAUAUGUGGAGGAACACCGAUGGCGAAGGCAGCCCCCUGGGUCAAAACUGACGCUCAUGCACGAAAGCGUGGGGAGCAAACAGGAUUAGAUACCCUGGUAGUCCACGCCCUAAACGAUGUCUACUAGUUGUCGGGUUUUAAUUAACUUGGUAACGCAGCUAACGCGUGAAGUAGACCGCCUGGGGAGUACGGUCGCAAGAUUAAAACUCAAAGGAAUUGACGGGGACCCGCACAAGCGGUGGAUGAUGUGGAUUAAUUCGAUGCAACGCGAAAAACCUUACCUACCCUUGACAUGGAUGGAAUCCUUGAGAGAU